rnacentral:lncRNA from 1 species
UCUACGCCUCUUUCUAUCAAAAGAUGACCUCUAAGGAUCAUUCUAAUCUAUUUAUAAUCUCUGAAAAAUAGCAGAAAACUAGCCCAGGCCCAUAAGUGUGGUGCUUAGCGGUGAGCACGAUACCCAUGUUCCCCUCAGCGUUGACGCUUAAGCGUUUGGAUGUAUCUAUAUGAAGAGAUUGGCGCUCAGCGGUGGGCGCGACACUUAAUUUCCCCUCAGCAUUGGCACAGAGGCGUUGGCCAAAGAAUCCUUCCACAAGGUUGGCGCUCAACGCUAGGUCAGCGCUGAGCAGUGGCUGCGUUUCUUCAUUUGUUCACUUUUCC